GCGGGCGUGGUGGAAUUGGUAGACACGCUAGACUUAGGAUCUAGUGCCGCAAGGUGUGGAGGUUCGAGUCCUCUCGCCCGCACAA
rnacentral:tRNA from 4 species